CAGCAGCCGCGGGAAUACGAAGGGUGCAAGCGUUAAUCGGAAUUACUGGGCGUAAAGCGUGCGUAGGCGGUGAGUUAAGUCUGCUGUGAAAUCCCCGGGCUCAACCUGGGAAUGGCAGUGGAUACUGGCUCGCUAGAGUGUGUCAGAGGAUGGUGGAAUUCCCGGUGUAGCGGUGAAAUGCGUAGAGAUCGGGAGGAACAUCAGUGGCGAAGGCGGCCAUCUGGGACAACACUGACGCUGAGGCACGAAAGCGUGGGGAGCAAACAGGAUUAGAUACCCCCGUAGUCCCUGUCUCUUAUAC
rnacentral:rRNA from 1 species